rnacentral:rRNA from 1 species
UAGUUUUNGGGCCGGCUUGGAACCCCNCCCCAGUGCCNCAAGGAAAGCCGUUAAAGCCCNCCGCCUGGGGAGUUCCGGCCCGCAAAGGCUUGAAACCUNAAAGGAAUUGGCGGGGGAGCCCCACAAGGGGUGGAGCCUGCGGCUUAAUUGGAGUCAACGCCGGGAACCUCACCGGGGGCGACAGCAGGAUGACGGCCAGGUUGAAGACCUUGCCCGACGCGCUGAGAGGAGGUGCAUGGCCGUCGCCAGCUCGUGCCGUGAGGUGUCCGGUUAAGUCCGGCAACGAGCGAGACCCCCGCCCCUAGUUGCUACCCGGCCCCCCGGGGCCGGGGCACACUAGGGGGACUGCCGGCGUCUAAGCCGGAGGAAGGAGGGGGCCACGGCAGGUCAGCAUGCCCCGAACCCCCCGGGCUGCACGCGGGCUACAAUGGCGGGGACAACGGGGUCCGACCCCGAAAGGGGGAGGUAAUCCCUUAAACCCCGCCUCAGUUGGGAUCGAGGGCUGCAACUCGCCCUCGUGAACGUGGAAUCCCUAGUAANNNCGCGUAGCAUCGCGCGGAAUA